UGGGGAAUCUUGGACAAUGGGCGCAAGCCUGAUCCAGCCAUGCCGCGUGAGUGAUGAAGGCCUUAGGGUCGUAAAGCUCUUUCGCCAGGGAUGAUAAUGACAGUACCUGGUAAAGAAACCCCGGCUAACUCCGUGCCAGCAGCCGCGGUAAUACGGAGGGGGUUAGCGUUGUUCGGAAUUACUGGGCGUAAAGCGUACGUAGGCGGAUCAGAAAGUAAGGGGUGAAAUCCCAGGGCUCAACCCUGGAACUGCCUCUUAAACUCCUGGUCUAGAGUUCGAGAGAGGUGAGUGGAAUUCCAAGUGUAGAGGUGAAAUUCGUAGAUAUUUGGAGGAACACCAGUGGCGAAGGCGGCUCACUGGCUCGAUACUGACGCUGAGGUACGAAAGUGUGGGGAGCAAACAGGAUUAGAUACCCUGGUAGUCCACACCGUAAACGAUGAAUGCCAGACGUCGGGCAGUAUACUGUUCGGUGUCACACCUAACGGAUUAAGCAUUCCGCCUGGGGAGUACGGUCGCAAGAUUAAAACUCAAAGGAAUUGACGGGGGCCCGCACAAGCGGUGGAGCAUGUGGUUU
rnacentral:rRNA from 1 species